GGUAGUCCACGCUGUAAACGAUGGGUACUAGAUUUGGUGGGUCUUGACCCCCGCCGAAUCGGAGCUAACGCAAUAAGUACCCCGCCUGGGAAGUACGGUCGCAAGACUAAAACUCAAAGGAAUUGACGGGGGCCCGCACAAGCGGUGGAUCAUGUGGUUUAAUUCGAAGCAACGCGAAGAACCUUACCUAGGUUUGACAUCUCUGGACCGACGUAGAGAUACGUUUUUCGUAGCAAUACGACCAGAAGACAGGUGCUGCAUGGCUGUCGUCAGCUCGUGUGGUGACAUGUUGGGUUAAG
rnacentral:rRNA from 1 species